GGUUACCCCACCCAAACCUCUCAUGUUUUACUGGGAGCCUUUUUUCAUGCAACUGCACAGUAAACUGUUGCAGAGGGUGUUUUACCCAACAUGUAUCUGCUCCACAUGUUCUUACAUUUCUUAGACCUCUAUCUCAUUAACAGGAUUAGUACAUUCCUCAGUCUUCUGCAUAAUUCUGGUAGAUCACUGUACUGCAUGACAUGAGUGCCAAUUAUAUUUUAGUUUUACUAUUGCAACAUUGUAUACGUAGCCCGUUGUUAUGAUGGAUGCAUUAGAAAAAAUACUCACACAUAGGAAAGCAUUACAUGAUUAGACAUUCAAGUUUAUAAAAAAGGGGAGUAAUAGUGAAAACAAGUUUAAUGUGUGGCAAUAUGUGUGAGGCAAGUUUAUUUUGGUUUACUAUUGAGGUCUAAAAAUGAUGUCAUGACGUGUGAACAUGCUGUAUUUCUGUAUUUGGUUGCAUACAAGUAAUGGUGUGUAUGUUUAAAAGCGUACUUGACUUUGUUGACUUUCCCGGUGACAGUCUGUCCGGAUGUUUGUGAAUGCAUCAACAAUCCAACCUGCUGGAUUCUUGGCAGUUCGCAGCAACGUCAUUUUGCAACACUCUCGGAGAUUUUUCUCUUACUUUCCUUUAUCCUUGUGUUACUUGUUGUUUGUUCUACAUUCACACCAGGACUCGUGAGUAACCAAAACUGACUGAAAGUGUGACUGCAUGGGGCCCGUGGUGUAUGUGUGCAAAAACAUAGGGUGUGGUGUAAAGGUGUUCAGAUAUUCAACUACACUCAGAAGGUUAUUAUUAUUCUUUCUGGUUUUUCAUUUAGAGCUCAUUGGGAUUGUUCUGUUUGCAUACGUUGAUUGUGUCACAAGUUCUAUUAAACUAGGCGGAGCUCUUUAGGCCUAACUCAGAAGUGAGGUUGAGUGUUAUUUCUUAGCAUUAUUUGUGUAAUCUUUAUGGGAAUUUUUUUUGGUUUAAUCUGGUCAACUGUGAUUGCAAUUUUUUUUAGAUAUCAUUUAUUAAAGAACCCUAUACCCCUCAUCUUACUUCAGUUUGAAUAGGGUGGCAAUGUUGCUAUACACACACAGGCGGAUGGCUGCUUAUACUGAGCCAGGAUCCUCUGGAGGUUUUUUCCUGUUAAAAGAAAGUUUUCCUCUCCACUGUCACUGCAUGCUUGCUUAGUAUGAGGAUUGCAACCUGCAGGGUUCCUUAUAUGUUUCUCUAUUAUAUAUAUUUUUCUUUAAACAUCUUUGGUGUGUUCUUACUGUGUUUAGUUUCUAAUUCCAUUUUUGGUUCUUUUCAAAACACCUUGCUAACGUUUCAUUUGCCGACUGCAAAACAUCCUCAGAGCUGACGCUGAUGGUGGCGUGACUUCCUUCUCCGUUUAUCUGCGGGCAGCAGAGGACGCUGUCGCCCUCUGCUGCCCACAUUUUGCAGGUGAGGGAUCAGACAAAGAGCAGCCCAAAGACCUCUUAUGAUGAAUUAUAUAAAUGGAAACCGUGUUCCCUCGCCCGGACGUGGGUCACCAGGGCACCUCUCUAGAGCCAGGCCUGGAUGUGGGGCACGUUGGCGAGCUCCUGGUGGUCGGGCUUUCACCCAUGGAGCACGGCCGGGCACAACCCGAAGAUGUGGAUCCCCCUUCCCAUGGGCUCACCACUCGUGGGAGGGGCCAAAGGGGUCGAGUGCAGGUUGUCGAGGGCGGGGACCUUGGCGGUCUGAUCCUCGGCUACAGAAGCUGGCUCUUGCCACAUGGAAUGUCACCUCUCUGGUGGGGAAGGAGCCUGAGUUGGUGUGUGAGGUUGAGAGGUUCCAAAUAGAUAUAGUUGGACUCACCUCAACACAUGGCUCUGGCUCUGGAACCAGUUUCCUUGAGAGGGUUCGGACUUUCUACCACUCUGGAGUUGCUCCCACUGAGAGGCACUUGUCAUGAGCCGGGGUGAGUACUCUUCUCAUCAUUCACCAUCUCUGAGUGUUCUGAUUGCAGGAGAGGGAGCGACAGCUGAUCCUCAUCAGCGUGAUCAGCAGGUCGACUUUAAAAGGAGGAUGGUGAUCAUGAUUCGACGCCGGAUGAUUACUACUGACUGGUUGGCUUCAUCUCUGGAUCCUCCACCGUCUCUAGGACUUCUCACUGGUUCGCUUCCUGGAUCAAUAUUCACUCAGCCGUCCCGCUCUCCACCACGCUCCCGCUCCCUCUCCGGAUCAACUUCCUCAUCUCCUCUCGUCACCACUCACCCUCCUGGAUCGUGGUCAUUUUUGCUCUGGAUAUCACCCUGGCUCACUCCCCCUCCAUAACCCUCCUGAACUUCCGCAUCACGCCGCUUCCUGUUUCUUCCCCAUUCGCUGGACCUACAGUGUGCCCUUAGUUUCUCCUUUGUAAAAAUAAAUAUUAUUAUUUAUCUCCUUUGUCUAAGUCUCCGUCUCUGAUUCUGCAUGUCUUGGGUUAGUAAGUAAGUAAGUAAGUAACUUUAUUUCUAUAGCACCUCUCACAGACAAAAAGGUCACAAAGUGCUUCACAAGUUAAAAGGCAACAACAUAUAAAUACAGUAAAAUAGAGCCACAAUAUACAUAGUGUCAAAUACAACCAAUCCAAAUGAGACUAAGUUUAAAAUGCCUGGAGAAACAAAUGGGUUUUAAGAUUGCUCUUAAAACAUCAACUGAGUCGAUUGAGCGUAAGGACAGAGGUAGCUCAUUCCAGAGCCUAGGAGCGACGGCCUGGAAUGAAUGAUCUCCUCGUGUCCUGAACUGAGUACGUGGGACCAUUAAAAGGUUUUGAUCCAGAGAUCUCAGCCUGCGAGAAGGCGUGUAAGGGCAGAGCAUGUCUCGAACAUACAAUGGAGCCAGACCAUGCAGCGCUCUGAAAGUCAGCACAAGAAUUUUAAAAUUGAUGCGAAAUGUGAUUGGAAGCCAAUGAAGAGCUUUUAAAAUGGGGGUAAUGUGGGCCCUUCUGUUGUCACGGGUCAGAAUUCUAGCUGCACAAUUCUGGACUUGUUGUAAGCGGGACAGCUCUUUUUUGUUUA